UACGGAGGGGGCUAGCGUUAAUCGGAAUUACUGGGCGUAAAGCGUGCGCAGGCGGUUUUGUAAGCCAGAUGUGAAAUCCCCGGGCUUAACCUGGGAAUGGCAUUUGGGACUGCAAGGCUGGAGUGCGGCAGAGGAGACUGGAAUUCCUGGUGUAGCAGUGAAAUGCGUAGAUAUCAGGAGGAAUACCGAUGGCGAAGGCAGGUCUCUGGGCUGACACUGACGCUCAUGCACGAAAGCGUGGGGAGCAAACAGG
rnacentral:rRNA from 1 species